AUACGGGGGGGGCAAGCGUUAUUCGGAAUUAUUGGGCGUAAAGCGCACGUAGGCGGCUUGACAAGUCAAAUGGUGAAAUCCCUCGGCUCAACCGAGGAACUGCCUUUGAAACUGUCAGGCUUGAGGUCGGGAGGGGGUAGCGGAAUUCCCAGUGUAGCGGUGAAAUGCGUAGAUAUUGGGAGGAACACCGGUGGCGAAGGCGGCUACCUGGACCGAUUCUGACGCUGAGGUGCGAAAGCGUGGGUAGCAAACAGGAUUAGAAACCCUAGUAGUCC
rnacentral:rRNA from 1 species